AUUGAACGCUGGCGGCAUGCUUUACACAUGCCAGUCGAACGGCAGCGCGGGCUUCGGCCUGGCGGCGAGUGGCGAACGGGUGAGUAAUGCAUCGGAACGUGCCCAGUAGUGGGGGAUAGCCCGGCGAAAGCCGGAUUAAUACCGCAUACGACCUGAGGGUGAUAGCGGGGGACCGAAAGGCCUCGCGCUAUUGGAGCGGCCGAUGUCGGAUUAGCUAGUUGGUGGGGUAAAGGCUUACCAAGGCGACGAUCCGUAGCUGGUCUGAGAGGACGACCAGCCACACUGGGACUGAGACACGGCCCAGACUCCUACGGGAGGCAGCAGUGGGGAAUUUUGGACAAUGGGGGCAACCCUGAUCCAGCCAUGCCGCGUGCGGGAAGAAGGCCUUCGGGUUGUAAACCGCUUUUGUUCGGGAAGAAAUCCUCUGGGCUAAUACCCCGGGGGGAUGACGGUACCGGAAGAAUAAGCACCGGCUAACUACGUG
rnacentral:rRNA from 1 species